AAAACCGUGGAAUGGCCUUUAGUAACGGCGAGUGAAGCGGCAAAAGCUCAAAUUUGAAAUCUGGUACCUUCGGUGCCCGAGUUGUAAUUUGGAGAGGGCAACUUUGGGGCCGUUCCUUGUCUAUGUUCCUUGGAACAGGACGUCAUAGAGGGUGAGAAUCCCGUGUGGCGAGGAGUGCGGUUCUUUGUAAAGUGCCUUCGAAGAGUCGAGUUGUUUGGGAAUGCAGCUCUAAGUGGGUGGUAAAUUCCAUCUAAAGCUAAAUAUUGGCGAGAGACCGAUAGCGAACAAGUACAGUGAUGGAAAGAUGAAAAGAACUUUGAAAAGAGAGUGAAAAAGUACGUGAAAUUGUUGAAAGGGAAGGGCAUUUGAUCAGACAUGGUGUUUUGUGCCCUCUGCUCCUUGUGGGUAGGGGAAUCUCGCAUUUCACUGGGCCAGCAUCAGUUUUGGUGGCAGGAUAAAUCCAUAGGAAUGUAGCUUGCCUCGGUAAGUAUUAUAGCCUGUGGGAAUACUGCCAGCUGGGACUGAGGACUGCGACGUAAGUCAAGGAUGCUGGCAUAAUGGUUAUAUGCCGCCCGUCUUGAAACACGGACCAAAA
rnacentral:rRNA from 1 species